GGCCGACCUCCUCCCCAUGCCCAUCCAGAAGAUCCCCCACGUGUCCCGGAAAGGCGCGCUGGCGCAGCCCCCCGAGGCCGGCGGCAAGGACGCG
rnacentral:ribozyme from 1 species